rnacentral:rRNA from 1 species
ACNUAAGCAUAUCAAUAAGCGGAGGAAAAGAAACCAACAGGGAUUGCCUCAGUAACGGCGAGUGAAGCGGCAACAGCUCAAAUUUGAAAUCUGACCCCUUCGGGGCCCGAGUUGUAAUUUGUAGAGGAUGCUUCGGGUGCGGCGCCGGUCUAAGUUCCUUGGAACAGGACGUCAUAGAGGGUGAGAAUCCCGUAUGCGACCGGCGGCCAACCCCGUGUGAAGCCCCUUCGACGAGUCGAGUUGUUUGGGAAUGCAGCUCAAAAUGGGUGGUAAAUUUCAUCUAAAGCUAAAUACCGGCCAGAGACCGAUAGCGCACAAGUAGAGUGAUCGAAAGAUGAAAAGCACUUUGGAAAGAGAGUCAAACAGUACGUGAAAUUGUUGAAAGGGAAGCGCUUGCAACCAGACCUGCCCGCGGGCGAUCAGCCGUUAUUCUUAGCGGUGCACUCGUCCGCGAUCAGGCCAGCAUCGGUUCGAGCGGCCGGAUAAAGGCCUCGGGAAUGUAGCUCCCCCCGGGGAGUCUUAUAGCCCGGGGUGCAAUGCGGCCAGCCCGGACCGAGGACCGCGCUUCGGCUAGGAUGCUGGCGUAAUGGUUGUAAGCGACCCGUCUUGAAACACGGACC